CCUACGGGAGGCAGCAGGCGGGAAACCUUUACACUACGCGAAAGCGUGAUAAGGGGAUCCUAAGUGCUUACCUUAUGGUAGGCUUUUGCCGAGUGCAAAUAGCUCGGAGAAUAAGUGGUGGGCAAGACCGGUGCCAGCCGCCGCGGUAACACCGGCGCCACGAGUGGGGGUCAUAUUUAUUGGGCCUAAAGCGUUCGUAGCCGAAUCUGCAAGUCUCUUGUGAAAUCGCCAUGCUCAACAUGACGGAUGGCAAGAGCGACUACAGAUUUAGAGAUCGGGAGGAGGCAGGGGUAUUCCUUGGGGAGCGGCAAAAUGUUUUAAUCCUUGGAAGACCACCUGUGGCGAAGGCGUCUGCCUAGAACGAAUCUGACGGUGAGGAACGAAAGCUGGGGGAGCGAUCCGGAUUAGAUACCCUGGUAGUCC
rnacentral:rRNA from 1 species